rnacentral:rRNA from 1 species
GGUUAAGCGACUAAGCGUACACGGUGGAUGCCCUGGCAGUCAGAGGCGAUGAAGGACGUGCUAAUCUGCGAUAAGCGUCGGUAAGGUGAUAUGAACCGUUAUAACCGGCGAUUUCCGAAUGGGGAAACCCAGUGUGUUUCGACACACUAUCAUUAACUGAAUCCAUAGGUUAAUGAGGCGAACCGGGGGAACUGAAACAUCUAAGUACCCCGAGGAAAAGAAAUCAACCGAGAUUCCCCCAGUAGCGGCGAGCGAACGGGGAGCAGCCCAGAGCCUGAAUCAGUGUGUGUGUUAGUGGAAGCGUCUGGAAAGGCGCGCGAUACAGGGUGACAGCCCCGUACACAAAAAUGCACAUACUGUGAGCUCGAUGAGUAGGGCGGGACACGUGGUAUCCUGUCUGAAUAUGGGGGGACCAUCCUCCAAGGCUAAAUACUCCUGACUGACCGAUAGUGAACCAGUACCGUGAGGGAAAGGCGAAAAGAACCCCGGCGAGGGGAGUGAAAAAGAACCUGAAACCGUGUACGUACAAGCAGUGGGAGCCUCUUAAUGGGGUGACUGCGUACCUUUUGUAUAAUGGGUCAGCGACUUAUAUUCUGUAGCAAGGUUAACCGAAUAGGGGAGCCGAAGGGAAACCGAGUCUUAACUGGGCGUUAAGUUGCAGGGUAUAGACCCGAAACCCGGUGAUCUAGCCAUGGGCAGGUUGAAGGUUGGGUAACACUAACUGGAGGACCGAACCGACUAAUGUUGAAAAAUUAGCGGAUGACUUGUGGCUGGGGGUGAAAGGCCAAUCAAACCGGGAGAUAGCUGGUUCUCCCCGAAAGCUAUUUAGGUAGCGCCUCGUGAAUUCAUCUCCGGGGGUAGAGCACUGUUUCGGCAAGGGGGUCAUCCCGACUUACCAACCCGAUGCAAACUGCGAAUACCGGAGAAUGUUAUCACGGGAGACACACGGCGGGUGCUAACGUCCGUCGUGAAGAGGGAAACAACCCAGACCGCCAGCUAAGGUCCCAAAGUCAUGGUUAAGUGGGAAACGAUGUGGGAAGGCCCAGACAGCCAGGAUGUUGGCUUAGAAGCAGCCAUCAUUUAAAGAAAGCGUAAUAGCUCACUGGUCGAGUCGGCCUGCGCGGAAGAUGUAACGGGGCUAAACCAUGCACCGAAGCUGCGGCAGCGACACUAUGUGUUGUUGGGUAGGGGAGCGUUCUGUAAGCCUGUGAAGGUGUACUGUGAGGUAUGCUGGAGGUAUCAGAAGUGCGAAUGCUGACAUAAGUAACGAUAAAGCGGGUGAAAAGCCCGCUCGCCGGAAGACCAAGGGUUCCUGUCCAACGUUAAUCGGGGCAGGGUGAGUCGACCCCUAAGGCGAGGCCGAAAGGCGUAGUCGAUGGGAAACAGGUUAAUAUUCCUGUACUUGGUGUUACUGCGAAGGGGGGACGGAGAAGGCUAUGUUGGCCGGGCGACGGUUGUCCCGGUUUAAGCGUGUAGGCUGGUUUUCCAGGCAAAUCCGGAAAAUCAAGGCUGAGGCGUGAUGACGAGGCACUACGGUGCUGAAGCAACAAAUGCCCUGCUUCCAGGAAAAGCCUCUAAGCAUCAGGUAACAUCAAAUCGUACCCCAAACCGACACAGGUGGUCAGGUAGAGAAUACCAAGGCGCUUGAGAGAACUCGGGUGAAGGAACUAGGCAAAAUGGUGCCGUAACUUCGGGAGAAGGCACGCUGAUAUGUAGGUGAAGUCCCUUGCGGAUGGAGCUGAAAUCAGUCGAAGAUACCAGCUGGCUGCAACUGUUUAUUAAAAACACAGCACUGUGCAAACACGAAAGUGGACGUAUACGGUGUGACGCCUGCCCGGUGCCGGAAGGUUAAUUGAUGGGGUUAGCGGUAACGCGAAGCUCUUGAUCGAAGCCCCGGUAAACGGCGGCCGUAACUAUAACGGUCCUAAGGUAGCGAAAUUCCUUGUCGGGUAAGUUCCGACCUGCACGAAUGGCGUAAUGAUGGCCAGGCUGUCUCCACCCGAGACUCAGUGAAAUUGAACUCGCUGUGAAGAUGCAGUGUACCCGCGGCAAGACGGAAAGACCCCGUGAACCUUUACUAUAGCUUGACACUGAACAUUGAGCCUUGAUGUGUAGGAUAGGUGGGAGGCUUUGAAGUGUGGACGCCAGUCUGCAUGGAGCCGGCCUUGAAAUACCACCCUUUAAUGUUUGAUGUUCUAACGUUGGCCCCUUACCGGGGUUGCGGACAGUGUCUGGUGGGUAGUUUGACUGGGGCGGUCUCCUCCUAAAGAGUAACGGAGGAGCACGAAGGUUGGCUAAUCCUGGUCGGACAUCAGGAGGUUAGUGCAAUGGCAUAAGCCAGCUUGACUGCGAGCGUGACGGCGCGAGCAGGUGCGAAAGCAGGUCAUAGUGAUCCGGUGGUUCUGAAUGGAAGGGCCAUCGCUCAACGGAUAAAAGGUACUCCGGGGAUAACAGGCUGAUACCGCCCAAGAGUUCAUAUCGACGGCGGUGUUUGGCACCUCGAUGUCGGCUCAUCACAUCCUGGGGCUGAAGUAGGUCCCAAGGGUAUGGCUGUUCGCCAUUUAAAGUGGUACGCGAGCUGGGUUUAGAACGUCGUGAGACAGUUCGGUCCCUAUCUGCCGUGGGCGCUGGAGAACUGAGGGGGGCUGCUCCUAGUACGAGAGGACCGGAGUGGACGCAUCACUGGUGUUCGGGUUGUCAUGCCAAUGGCACUGCCCGGUAGCUAAAUGCGGAAGAGAUAAGUGCUGAAAGCAUCUAAGCACGAAACUUGCCCCGAGAUGAGUUCUCCCUGACUCUUUAAGGGUCCUGAAGGAACGUUGAAGACGACGACGUUAAUAGGCCGGGUGUGUAAGCGCAGCGAUGCGUUGAGCUAACCGGUACUAAUGAACCGUGAGGCUUAACCUU